rnacentral:rRNA from 1 species
CAGCAGCCGCGGUAAUACCAGCUCUCCGAGUGGUGUGGAUGUUUAUUGGGCCUAAAGCAUCCGUAGCUGGCUAAGUUAGUCCCCUGUUAAAUCCAACGAAUUAAUCGUUGGAUCGCGGGGGAUACUGCUUGGCUAGGGGACGAGAGAGGCAGACGGUAUUUCCGGGGUAGGGGUGAAAUCCUAUAAUCCCGGGAAGACCACCAGUGGCGAAGGCUGUCUGCUAGAACGCGCCCGACGGUGAGGGAUGAAAGCUGGGGGAGCGAACCGGAUUAGAUACCCGGGUAGUCCCAGCUGUAAACGAUGCAGGCUAGGUGUUUGGACGGCCACGUGCCGUUCUAGUGCCGCAGGGAAGCUGUUAAGCCUGCCGCCUGGGGAGUACGAUCGCAAGAUUGAAACUUAAAGGAAUUGGCGGGGGAGCACCACAAGGGGUGAAGCUUGCGGUUUAAUUGGAGUCAACGCCGGAAAUCUCACCGGGAGCGACAGCAGUGUGAAGGCCAGAUUAAAGGUCUUGCCAGACGAGCUGAGAGGAGGUGCAUGGCC